UACGUAGGGUGCAAGCGUUAAUCGGAAUUACUGGGCGUAAAGCGUGCGCAGGCGGUUAUGUAAGACAGAUGUGAAAUCCCCGGGCUCAACCUGGGAACUGCAUUGGUGACUGGCAGGCUAGAGUAUGGCAGAGGGGGGUAGAAUUCCACGUGUAGCAGUGAAAUGCGUAGAGAUGUGGAGGAAUACCGAUGGCGAAGGCAGCCCCCUGGGCCAAUACUGACGCUCAUGCACGAAAGCGUGGGGAGCAAACAGG
rnacentral:rRNA from 1 species